UACGUAGGGGGCUAGUGUUGUCCGGAAUCAUUGGGCGUAAAGAGCGCGUAGGCGGCCAGAUAAGUCCGGUGUGAAAGUCAAAGGCUCAACCUUUGAAUGCCGCUGGAAACUGUCUGGCUAGAGUCCGGAAGGGGCGAGUGGAAUUCCUGGUGUAGCGGUGAAAUGCGCAGAUAUCAGGAGGAACACCAAUGGCGAAGGCAGCUCGCUGGGACGGUACUGACGCUGAGACGCGAAAGCGUGGGGAGCAAACAGG
rnacentral:rRNA from 1 species